rnacentral:rRNA from 1 species
AUUGAACGCUGGCGGCAUGCCUUACACAUGCAAGUCGAACGGCAGCAUGAUCUAGCUUGCUAGAUUGAUGGCGAGUGGCGUACGGGUGAGUCAUACAUCGGAACGUGCCCUGUAGUGGGGGAUAACGAGUCGAAAGAUUAGCUAAUACCGCAUACGACCUGAGGGUGAAAGUGGGGGAGCUCAAGGCCUCACGCUCUAGGAGCGGCCGAUGUCUGGUUAGCUAGUUGGUGAGGUAAAGGCUCACCAAGGCGACGAUCAGUAGCUGGUCUGAGAGUACGACCCGCCACACUGGGACUGAGACACGGCCCAGACUCCUACGGGAGGCAGCAGUGGGGAAUUUUGGACAAAGGGCGAAAGCCUGAUCCAGCAAUGCCGCGUGUGUGAAGAAGGCCUUCGGGUUGUAAAGCACUUUUGUCCGGAAAGAAAUGGCUCUGGUUAAUACCUGGGGUCGAUGACGGUACCGGAAGAAUAAGGACCGGCUAACUACGUG